rfam:Cricetulus griseus cell line CHO-K1, whole genome shotgun sequence.
GCCCAGCUAGCUCAAUCGGGAGAGCUUGGGACUUUUAAUCCCAGGGUUGUGGGUUCGAGCCACACGUUGGGUG